rnacentral:rRNA from 1 species
UGCCAGCAGCCGCGGUAAUACGUAGGUGGCAAUCGUUAUCCGGAAUUAUUGGGCGUAAAGCGCGCGUAGGCGGUUUUUUAAGUCUGAUGUGAACGCCCACGGCUCAACCGUGGAGGGUCAUUGGAAACUGGAAAACUUGAGUGCAGAAGAGGAAAGUGGAAUUCCAUGUGUAGCGGUGAAAUGCGCAGAGAUAUGGAGGAACACCAGUGGCGAAGGCGACUUUCUGGUCUGUAACUGACGCGGAUUUGAGCAAGCGUGGGGCUCAAACAGGAGUAGAUC